UACGAAGGGGGCUAGCGUUGUUCGGAAUUACUGGGCGUAAAGCGCACGUAGGCGGCUUUGUAAGUUAGAGGUGAAAGCCCGGGGCUCAACUCCGGAAUUGCCUUUAAGACUGCAUCGCUAGAAUUGUGGAAAGGUAAGUGGAAUUCCGAGUGUAGAGGUGAAAUUCGUAGAUAUUCGGAAGAACACCAGUGGCGAAGGCGACUUACUGGACACAUAUUGACGCUGAGGUGCGAAAGCGUGGGGAGCAAACAGG
rnacentral:rRNA from 1 species